rnacentral:rRNA from 1 species
UACACAUGCAAGUCGAACGGCAGCGCGGGAGCAAUCCUGGCGGCGAGUGGCGAACGGGUGAGUAAUACAUCGGAACGUGCCCAAUCGUGGGGGAUAACGCAGCGAAAGCUGUGCUAAUACCGCAUAAGAUCUACGGAUGAAAGCAGGGGAUCGCAAGACCUUGCGCGAAUGGAGCGGCCGAUGGCAGAUUAGGUAGUUGGUGAGGUAAAGGCUCACCAAGCCUUCGAUCUGUAGCUGGUCUGAGAGGACGACCAGCCACACUGGGACUGAGACACGGCCCAGACUCCUACGGGAGGCAGCAGUGGGGAAUUUUGGACAAUGGGCGAAAGCCUGAUCCAGCCAUGCCGCGUGCAGGAUGAAGGCCUUCGGGUUGUAAACUGCUUUUGUACGGAACGAAACGGCCUUUUCUAAUAAAGAGGGCUAAUGACGGUACCGUAAGAAUAAGCACCGGCUAACUACGUGCCAGCAGCCGCGGUAAUACGUAGGGUGCAAGCGUUAAUCGGAAUUACUGGGCGUAAAGCGUGCGCAGGCGGUUAUGUAAGACAGUUGUGAAAUCCCCGGGCUCAACCUGGGAACUGCAUCUGUGACUGCAUAGCUAGAGUACGGUAGAGGGGGAUGG